CUCAUGUAAACACUGAGGUGGGAGGGCUGGAGGUGGAGUGGUGCCCGCGGUGAUAGUGACGUGAAUAUUGCUACAGCCUGCUUGCUUUUACCAUGUCUGACCCUGUCCCACCAGAGGAGGGUAUCGAUGAGUAUGAGCACUAUAACUAUGAACAGGACAAAUUCCUGAAUACAAAAGGCGGAAAAGGACGCUCGAAAGCUGAGGCGGCGGUGAAUCACGACCACCAUGAUCCCAGCGGCCACACGAGAAAAAUCGUCAACAAACUGCAUAACUCUGAGGCGAACAAAAAGUUGUCUCCAAAGAACAGCAAUAACUGAUGUCAGCUUUAAGGUCCCCAUGUGAUACAGAGCCGACGUGUCCAGGUCCGCCAGCGGCCGAGCGGCGGACCUGAGGACGAACGGACCCCCGGAGCAGCAGCAGCGGCCCCAGCCGCGGGCCGACGCCGCCGCCCGCACCGCGGGCCGGACACAAGGCGCCAGCCAGCGCCCGCGCUGCCCGAACUGCUGUACCGACCCACUACCAAAUACACGCCGCUGUGGUGUGA